CAAAAUGAACUUUCUCAACCAAUGUUUGGUGAUGAAUUAUUAGCAGUGACUCUAUUCCAGAUGGUAACUAGGUUUUGUAGUGGUUCUGCUCCUCAUUUUCCAAUCAAAAAAGUAUUACUACUACUAUGGAAAGUUAUUCUUUGGUGCCUCGUAUAACGUAUGCCUCGAAUAAUGGACGCUGUGAACAAUGGACUUUCUGUUUGGCCGUUACGUGACUCAGGCAACGGACUGGCUGCGAACAACGGACUUUCCGUUCAGCAGUUACGUGAAGCGAACAACGGACUUUCUGUGAAGAAAUG